AUAACAAUACCGGGCUCUUCGUGGUCUGGUAAUUGGAAUGAGUACAAUCUAAAUCCCUUUAACGAGGAUCCAUUGGAGGGCAAGUCCGGUGCCGCCAGCCGUGGUAAUUCCAGCUCCAAUAACGUAUAUUUAAGUUGUUGCAGUUAAAAAAAGCUCGUAGUUGGACUUUGGGGCGGGUCGGUCGGUCCGCCUCAGCGUUGUGCACCGUCGUCCCAUCCCUUCUGUCGGCGAUCGUGCCUGGCCUUAAUUGGCGGUCGUGCCUCCGCACUGUUACUUUGAAGAAAUUAGAGUGCUUAAAGCAAGCCCACGCUCUGGAUACAUUAGCAUGGGAUAACAUCACGGAUUUCGGUCCUAUUGUGUUGGCCUUCCGGAUCGGAGUAAUGAUUAAGAGGGAUAGGGGCAUUUGUAUUUCAUAGUCGAGUUGAAAUUCUUGGAUUUUUGAAAGACGAACCACUCACGAAAAGCAUUUGCCAAGGAUAUUUUCAUUAAUCAAGAACGAAAGUUGGGGGCUCGAAGAUCGAUCGAUACCGUCCCUAGUCUCAACCAUAAACGAUGCCGACCGGGGGAUCGGCAGAUGUUGCUCUUAGGACUCCUACGCACCUUAUGAGAAAUCAAAGUCUUUGGGUUCCGGGGGGGGAGUAUGGUCGCAAGGCUGAAACUUAAAGGAAUUGACGGAAGGGCACCACCAGAGUGGAGCCUGCGGCUUAAUUUGACUCAACACGGGAAACUUACCAGUGCGCAGACAUAGCAAGGAUUGACAGGGCCGAGAGCUCUUUCUUGAUUCUAUGGGUGGUGGUGCAUGGCCGUUCUUAGUUGGUGGAGCGAUUUUGUCCGGUUAAUUCUGAUAACGAACGAGACCUCAGCCGCUAACUAGUUACUGCUGGUGGCAUCCCUCUGCGGACCAGCUUCUUAGAGGGACUAUGGCCGUUUAGGCCACGGAAGUUUGAGGCAAUAACAGGUCUGUGAUGACCUUAGAUGUUCUUCAAGACGCCGCGCUACACCGAUGUAUUCAACGAAGUCUAUAGCCUUGGCCGACGGUGCCCCGGUAAUCUUUGAAAAUUUCAUCGCGGAUGGGGAUAGAUCAUUGCAAUUGUUGGUCUUCAACGAGGAAUUCCUAGUAAGCGCGUCAUCAUCAGCUCGCGUUGACUACGCCCCUGCCCUUUGUACACACCGCCCGCCGCUCCUACCGAUUGAAUGGUCGGUGAAGUGUUGGAUCGAGGCGACGGGGCGGUUCGCCCGCCAGCGACGUCGCGAGAAGUCGUAACAAAGGUUUCGUAGGGUGAACCUCGCG
rnacentral:rRNA from 1 species